UCUACGGGAGGCUGCAGUGGGGAAUAUUGCACAAUGGGGGGAACCCUGAUGCAGCGACGCCGCGUGGGUGAGGACGUACUUCGGUAUGUAAAGCCCUAUCAGCAGGGAAGAAAAUGACGGUACCUGACUAAGAAGCCCCGGCUCACUACGUGCCAGCAGCCGCGGUAAUACGGAGGGGGCAAGCGUUAUCCGGAUUUACUGGGUGUAAAAGGAGCGUAGACGUCAGCACAAGUCUGAAGUGAAAUGCCGGGGCUUAACCCCGGACCUGCGUUGGAAACUGUGCAGCUAGAGGGCAGGAGAGGUAAGUGGAAUGCCUGGUGUAGCGGUGAAAUGCGUAGAUAUUAGGAGGAACACCAGUGGCGAAGGCGGCUUACUGGACUGUAACUGACGUUGAGGCUCGAAAGCGUGGGGAGCAAACAGGAUUAGAUACCCUUGUAGUC
rnacentral:rRNA from 1 species